UGCCCCGCCCCUUGGCGGCCAUGUUAUUCAAGCAAACAUAACCAUUUUCGAACUCAUCCAAGAUAUCAUUAAGACAAAUCUUCUGACCAUAUUUCAUCAAGAUUGGACAAUAAAUGUGGCCUCUAGAGUGUUAACAAGGUUUUACUAUAGCCAUAUAAGGAAAAAUGCCCCGCCCCCUGGCGGCCACGUUUUUCAACCAAUCGGCAUCAUUUUCAAACUCGUCCAAGAUAUUAUUGGGAUGAAUCUUCUGACCAAGUUUCAUUAAGAUUGGACAAUAAAUGUGGCCUCUAGAGUGUAAACAAGAUUUUACUAUAGCCAUAUAUAGCCAUAUAAGGAAAAAUGCCCCGCCCCUUGGCAGCCAUGUUUUACACGCAAAGGUUACCAUUUUUUAACUCAUCAAAGAUAUCAGUGGGACAAAUCUUCUGAGCAAGUUUCAUGAAGAUCGGAAAAUAAAUGUGGCCUCUAGAGUGUUAACAAGGUUUUACUAUAGCCAUAUAAGGAAAAAUGCCCCGCCCCCUGGCGGCCAUGUUUUUCAACCAACCGGCAUCAUUUUCCAACUCGUCCAAGAUAUUAUUGAGAUGAAUCUUCUGACCAAGUUUCAUUAAGAUUGGACAAUAAAUGUGGCCUCUAGAGUGUUAACAAGAUUUUACUAUAG